GAUGAACGCUGGCGGCGUGCCUAAUACAUGCAAGUCGAGCGAAGCGGGGACGGGUGAGUAACACGUGGAUAACCUCCUAUAAGACUGGGAUAACUUCGGGACAACGGAGCUAAACCGGAUACUUCUAGUUGGAUCCGGGCUGCAUUAGCUGGUUGGUAAGGUAGCGGCUUACCAAGGCAACGAUGUAGAGCCGACCUGAGAGGGGGAACAGGCACACUGGAACUACGACACGGUCCAGACUCCUACGGGAGGCAGCAGUAGGGAAUCUUCCGCAAUGGGCGAAAGCCUGACGGGGCAACGCCGCGUGAGUGAUGAAGGGCUUCGGAUCGUAAAACUCUGUUAUUAGGGAAGCGGUACCUAAUCAGAAAGCCACGGCUAACUACGUGCCAGCAGCCGCGGUAAUAC
rnacentral:rRNA from 1 species